rnacentral:rRNA from 1 species
UACGGAGGGGGCUAGCGUUGUUCGGAAUUACUGGGCGUAAAGCGCGCGUAGGCGGCUUUGUAAGUUAGAGGUGAAAGCCCGGGGCUCAACUCCGGAAUUGCCUUUAAGACUGCAUCGCUCGAAUUGUGGAGAGGUAAGUGGAAUUCCGAGUGUAGAGGUGAAAUUCGUAGAUAUUCGGAAGAACACCGGUGGCGAAGGCGGCUCACUGGCUCAUUACUGACGCUCAGGCGCGAUAGCGUGGGGAUCAAACAGG